rnacentral:rRNA from 1 species
UACGUAGGGGGCAAGCGUUGUCCGGAUUUAUUGGGCGUAAAGAGCGUGUAGGCGGCCAGAUAGGUCUGUUGUGAAAACUCGAGGCUCAACCUCGAGACGCCGAUGGAAACCAUUUGGCUAGAGUCCGGAAGAGGUGAGUGGAAUUCCUGGUGUAGCGGUGAAAUGCGCAGAUAUCAGGAGGAACACCAGUAGCGAAGGCGGCACGCUGGGCCGGUACUGACGCUGAGGAGCGAAAGCGUGGGGAGCAAACAGG